rnacentral:tRNA from 1 species
GUCGGGAUAGCUCAGUUGGAAGGC